CUGCGGAAGGAUCAUUAUUGAAAACGGGUUGUUGCUGGCCCUUUGAGGCAUGUGCACACCUUUAUUAUUUUUCCAACUUGUGCAUCAUAUUGGGACUGCUGUGCUUUUGUUAAUAGUUCGGCUUUCCCUUUUUAUUAUUACAAUCACAUUUGAAAUGUUGAAUGGUAUAACAAAAACAAAAAAUAUACAACUUUCAGCAACGGAUCUCUUGGCUCUCGCAUCGAUGAAGAACGCAGCGAAAUGCGAUAAGUAAUGUGAAUUGCAGAAUUCAGUGAAUCAUCGAAUCUUUGAACGCAUCUUGCGCUCCUUGGUAUUCCGAGGAGCAUGCCUGUUUGAGUGUCAUUAAAUUCUCAAACCACACUUGUUGUGGCUUGGAUAGUUGGGUGUUGCCUGCUUUUUAUAACAAAGUAGGCUCUCCUUAAAUAUAUAAGUGGCAUUUUUAGAAACUUGUUAGGUGUUGUAAAUUAUUGAUACAUCUAUUGUUUCUGAAUAAUACUGCUUCUAACCAACCCUUUCUUUGAUGAUUUUGACCUCAAAUCAGGUAGGACUACCCGCUGAACUUAAGCAUAUCAAUAAGCGGAGGA
rnacentral:sRNA from 1 species